CAACCUGCCUUUCAGAGGGGGAGUAACAUUUGGAAACAAAUGCUAAUACCGCAUAAGAUUACAGUACCGCAUGAUACAGUGAUCAAAGGAGCAAUCCGCUGAAAGAUGGGCUCGCGUCCGAUUAGAUAGUUGGUGAGGUAACGGCUCACCAAGUCGACGAUCGGUAGCCGGACUGAGAGGUUGAACGGCCACAUUGGGACUGAGACACGGCCCAG
rnacentral:rRNA from 1 species